rnacentral:rRNA from 1 species
AUUGAACGCUGGCGGCAGGCCUAACACAUGCAAGUCGAGCGGAUGAAGGGAGCAUGUUCCUGGAUUCAGCGGCGGACGGGUGAGUAAUGCCUAGGAAUCUGCCUGGUAGUGGGGGAUAACGUCCGGAAACGGGCGCGAAUACCGCAUACGUCCAGCGGGAGAAAGUGGAGGAGCGUGGGACUCCGCGCUAUCGCAUGAGCCUAGGUCGGAUUAGCUAGUUGGUGGGGUAAAGGCCUACCAAGGCGACGAUCCGUAACUGGUCUGAGAGGAUGAUCAGUCACACUGGAACUGAGACACGGUCCAGACUCCUACGGGAGGCAGCAGUGGGGAAUAUUGGACAAUGGGCGAAAGCCUGAUCCAGCCAUGCCGCGUGUAUGAAGAAGGUCUUCGGAUUGUAAAGCACUUUAAGUUGGGAGGAAGGGAAGUAAGUUAAUACCUUGCUGUUUUGACGUUACCCACAGAAUAAGCACCGGCUAACUUCGUG